rnacentral:rRNA from 1 species
GAUGAACGCUGGCGGCGUGCCUAAUACAUGCAAGUCGAGCGAACAGACGAGGAGCUUGCUCCUCUGACGUUAGCGGCGGACGGGUGAGUAACACGUGGAUAACCUACCUAUAAGACUGGGAUAACUUCGGGAAACCGGAGCUAAUACCGGAUAAUAUAUUGAACCGCAUGGUUCAAUAGUGAAAGCCGGUUUUGCUGUCACUUAUAGAUGGAUCCGCGCCGCAUUAGCUAGUUGGUAAGGUAACGGCUUACCAAGGCAACGAUGCGUAGCCGACCUGAGAGGGUGAUCGGCCACACUGGAACUGAGACACGGUCCAGACUCCUACGGGAGGCAGCAGUAGGGAAUCUUCCGCAAAGGGCGAAAGCCUGACGGAGCAACGCCGCGUGAGUGAUGAAGGUCUUCGGAUCGUAAAACUCUGUUAUUAGGGAAGAACAAAUGUGUAAGUAACUAUGCACGUCUUGACGGUACCUAAUCAGAAAGCCACGGCUAACUACGUG